UUUAAUUUUUGCUAUGGUUAAAUUUUUACCAACACCGUUUUUUGGUUAUUAGUUAUAUGACACCGGAUACGUUUGAUGUUCACAUUACGCUUUGUCACAAAACAUAGAAUUUAGGUGUUGGCCCCUCAUGAAGUAAGUUUAUACCUUUUUUAUUGGUGAUUUUUGAUUAAUUAGUGUAUUUUUAUAAACAUUAUAAUAUCGAGGCGUUGAAAUUAUCUGUAAAAUGGGUGCAUUUCAAUGAGACGAGGAACGUCCUAAAUAUUGAACUUUACGGGAAAUCUGUAACAUUAAUUGAAGUUAUUUUUGUACAAUUGUGCAGGUUUAUUUGUAUGAAACUUUUUGAUAUAAUUGAAAUGAAUGUAUAGACAAAUUAUUACUUGUAUUAUCAAGACAUUUUAUGCUCAAAUAUAUUUACACACAUAACAUCAUAUAAACAGGAUAAAUUUUACAUGGUACAUAAUUUACUGAUGUUUUAUUCUAGAGACAUUUUACAUUUCAAACAAUUAAUUAUUUGUUCAGCAUUGAUAUUUGAAGUAACAUUACACCUACAUGUAUUUUCAAGGAAAUCUUAAAGAUUGGACUAAAACUUUAUUAUGUAAUUUUACACAAUCAAAGCACUGUUAGUACUGUUUUUGCAUUUUGGUUACAAUUUUCAGUAUGUUGAUAUUUAUGUGAAAUAUUGGAAAAUGUUUUGUUUCUAAAUACCUUUUACUUAUGAUUGUAUUUUUUAUGUUGUAGUUUUGUACCCUCUCCGGGGGUUUGAAUAGCAAUAAAGCAUAGAACAUUGCACAGUACAAAAUUCUUACAAGGAACCAGCUUCACAUAGGAACAUGUCAGCUUCAGAGUGGACAUCAGACAAAUCCCUUAGACGUCAAAGGAACCUUACAGAAAAGGCUCAAAAGGCAUACCAAGUAAUCGUUCAGAAAUAUUGGACUACACUUACCGAAGUAAAACAGGACAUUUAUUUGUUGAUUCAAGCUAUUCGUGAAAGGACCUGCACAGUAUCAGAUGUUGAUACGCAUGUACGCCAAAAACUUGAACACUAUCGUAGAAACUCAGAUGGUUUUCAUAGAUACCUAUCAUCAAUUCGCACAAGAUUUAGUGACAUUGAAAUGGAAAAUAAUGAUCAGGAACUUAAAAACAUUGAAAAAGAGGUCCAGUUUUAUCUUAAUAGAGUUGAUGAACAUCAAGGAACCUCAAAACAGGAUUCAAUGUCAGAACAAAACAUUACUGUGAUUCAGAAGGAACAAGAUUCAGAAGAUUUACUAACAGCUGUUAAGCUUAAGUCAGAGCUUAAAAGUGAGCCACCCAUGAAAAUAACAUUAAAGUCAAAAGCCAAAAGCAUUCGGUCAAAACUAUCUGGAAAGUCUAAAAUUUCCGACAAAUCAAAUGUUAAUUCAUUAUACAUUAAACAGAAAUUAAAAGUAGAAGAGUUGCGUGUUCGUGUGGAGUAUGCGCAACAGGAAGCAGAACUUUUAAAACAAAAGGCCAACGUUGAAGCAAGUAUUAAAGUUUUGAAUACUCAGCGAGAAUUUGCAGAAAGCCAAAAAGUGUUUGAAGUACUAGAUGACUGUAUGGAAAGUAGUGAAGAAGAAUUUGAAGAUAAACACUUGUCAGAGACUAGAGAAAAAAGAGUAAGACAGUUUGUCCUUGAUCAAAAUAAAAUUUUGGAUCCAAUAUCAAAUGGUGAUAUCCUAGUUCCUAAAACUGAUUUUGUUGAAAAAACUGAUACGAAACCGAAACAGAAUAUUUAUGUCGAUAACAACAAUCAAGAUAAUGAUUUAUCACCAGUGACUCAGAUUACUACACAACCAGAUCCAAAGGUUGUGCAAACUUUAGAUACUAAGUCGUGUACGUUGAACGCAAAGGCUGCACCAUAUUAUCCUACAACUAUUAAUAACUCUAGUGAGGAAUUGGCAAAAUUUAUUGUUAAAAAAGAUCUUCUGAUAUCCAGAAUACAAAAGUUUGAUGAUAAGGCAGAAUAUUUUGGAUCGUGGAAAAAAUCAUUCUGUGACACCGUGAAGGAGCUGAGCCUCUCAGCUUCAGAGGAAGUGGAUCUGUUGGUUAAGUAUCUGGGACCAGAGUCGACAAAGUCUGCUGUUAGUAUACGUUCAGCAAACUAUUUGGACUUGUCCAAAGCACGUGACCGUAUAUGGGAACGACUACAUGACCGUUAUGCAAGACCUGAAAUGGUGGAAACUUCAAUUAAGCAAAAACUUAUGUAUUUUCCGAAGAUUACAUACAAAGAUCCAAAACAAUUAUAUGAUCUAUUAGACAUUGUUUCAGAAAUUGCAGCCAUUAAAACUUAUGAGCAGUACCGUCCAUUAUUUUCAUACUUCGACUCGUCUGCGGGAGUUAACCCUAUUGUCGCAAAGCUACCCUACCAGUUGCAGGAGAAAUGGUCGACAGAAGCAAACAAGUACAAGGAAUAUCAUUCUUCUUCAUAUCCACCAUUUGAAGUGUUUGAAAUAUUCUUAAGAAAAAUUGCACGCAUGAAAAAUGAUCCCUCAUUUAUUUAUGAGGAUACAGGAAUAAACUCAGCUAAGGUGCACAACAUGACAAAACCAAAACAAAGGCAGCAGCAAAAUGUUUCAGUGCUUAAGACUGAUUUGCCUGUUACGAAAAAUCAACAGUAUACACGGAACACUAGUGACACUGUCUGUCCGUUGCAUAAUACAAAUCACACGUUAAACAAAUGUCGACAGUUUAGAUUAAAGCCGAUAAGGGAACGUCAGGAUUUUUUGAAGAGUAAAGGACUUUGUUUUAGAUGUUGUGGUCAAAAGGGUCACCUAGCCAGAGAUUGUACUGCAGCCGUGACAUGUGAAGUUUGUAAGUCAACUACACACCCAACAGCUUUACAUAUUGAGAAAUUUACACACCAACAGCCAACCACAAAAUUUCAAGAACAGAAAACAGAACCAAAGUUGGAACAGGACACUCAAAAGGUGGUAACUGCAUGCACACAAAUAUGCAAGAACCAAGGAACUAGUAAAUCAUGCUCCAAGACGGUAUUGGUCAGAGUGUAUCCGAAUGGACAACCAGAAAACAGUUUACUAUUGUACGCCAUUAUAGAUGAACAAUCAAACAGAUCUUUAGCAAAAUCUUCAUUCUUUGAACAUUUUAAUAUUCAUGGACCUGAGGUACCGUACACAUUAUCAUCUUGUUCUGGUAGCUUCUCUGAGUAUGGAAGACGAGCAAGUGAUUUUGCAGUUGAGUCCUUUGAUGCUAGUUGUAAAUUAAAUUUACCUACUCUCAUAGAGUGUGACCAGGUUCCUGAUAUACGUACUGAAAUUCCGUCACCGGAUAUAGCUCAUGCGUACCAUCAUUUGAGAGACAUUGCUGAUUUCAUCCCUGACAUUAAUGAUAAUGCAGAUAUAAUGUUGCUAAUAGGUAGAGACUUAUUGAAAGCUCAUCAUGUUAUUGACCAACGAUUAGGUACAGAGCAUUGCCCAUUUGCACAAAAACUCUUCUUAGGAUGGGUAAUAAUUGGUGAGAGUUGUUUGUCCGCUACACAUGUACAACAGGAUUCAGUAUCAGUACUGAAAACUUUUACAUUGAAAGAUGGCCGUACAACUACAUUAGAACCAUGUAAUAAUAACUUUAACACAAAAGAUGGUUAUAUAUUUCAGACAACUCCUGAUGAUAAUAUUCCUGGACUCUCAAUUGAGGACAAAGAAUUUCUUGCACUUAUGGAACAUGAAAGUUACAAAGAUGAGGAAGGUUGUUGGACAGCUCCACUACCUUUUAGGCGGGACCGAAUAAGACUUCCCAACAAUAGAGUACAGGCUCUCCGACGAGCAAAGUCACUGGACUAUAAUCUACAAAAACACCCGGAAAAACAUUCCCAUGUUUAUGAAUUUAUGGGUAAAUUACUUACAAAUGGUCAUGCAGAAGUUGCUCCUCAAAUCACAGAACAGACUGAGUGUUGGUACUUACCACUUUUCGCUAUUUAUCAUUCGAAGAAACCAGGGAACAUAAGGUGCGUUUUUGACUCUUCAGCCAAAUUCAAUGAUAUAAGUCUCAAUGAUGUUCUACUGAGCGGACCCGAUCUAGUGAAUAGCCUUCUUUGGAUACUACUAAGAUUUCGACAACGUCCAGUUGUUAUCACAGCCGAUAUUGAACAGAUGUUUUAUAGGUUUUCAGUCCCACCAGAACAACGAAACUACUUAAGAUUCUAUUGGCACAAAGACAAUGAUCCAAAGAAUGAAAUGAUAGAAUAUCGAAUGACUAGACAUGUCUUUGGUAACAAGCCAUCUCCGGCUGUCGCCACUUUUGGCCUUAGAAACUGUGUUAAAACAGCUGAACAAGAUGUGCGUGACUUUGUAGAACGCAACUUUUAUGUUGAUGAUGCAUUGUGUUCCUUUGAUACUAGUGUUGAAGCAGUUGAUUUAAUUACUCGAACAAAGAAAAUUCUAAAAGAAGAAGGUAACAUUCGCUUACACAAAAUUUCAUCUAAUAAUUUGGAAGUUAUUAAAUCCUUUCCACAGGAGGAUCUUGCAAAAGACUUAAAGAACAUAAAUUUGGAUCUGAAUGAGGCUCCACUUCAGAGAAGCCUUGGUGUUCAGUGGGACAUGUCCAAGGACUGCUUUACUUUUAGAGUUUCACAACUAAAUUCAACAUCAAAACCAUUCACAAAACGUGGUGUGUUGGCAACAAUAAAUGGUUUAUAUGAUCCAAUGGGUUUUGUUGCACCUGUAACUGUAGCCGGAAAGAUUAUUAUGCGUGAUAUUAUGGCCUUACACACUGACUGGGACGACCCAUUGCCAGAAACAUAUUUAUCGAAGUGGAGUACAUGGAAGAAUUCACUUGAACAUUUGAACAACGUGACCAUACCGAGAUGUUUCACUGCAUUUGAAUCAUCACAGAUUGUUUGUCGUGAACUGCAUAUUUUCUCAGACGCGUCAAAAGAUGCUAUUGGUGCUGUCGCAUAUUUGAAACUUUAUGAUGUCAACGGAGUAUCUCAACUAGCCUUUGUUCAGGGAAAAGCAAAGGUUGCUCCUACUCAUGGGCAUACCAUUCCCAGGUUAGAACUAUGUGCUGCUGUGUUAGCAAUAAAUCUUAAAGACUCAGUAACUAGACACUUAACUUUGGAAAUUAAGUCUACAUUCAUGUACACUGAUAGUAAGAUAGUCUUGGGCUAUAUCAAUAAUCAACAGAGACGUUUUUAUGUUUACGUUGGAAAUCGUAUAGAUAUGAUCCGUCAGUCAACCAGUCCAAGUCACUGGUCAUACGUACCGUCCGAAGAUAAUCGAGCUGAUACAGCCACCAGAUCUAUUUCUGCUAGAGAUAUAAGCACUAGUGAAUGGCUCUUAGGACCAUCAUUUCUUAUGAAAGGAAGUGAAUCUAAAUUUGAUCAUACAGAAAGUUUUUCUAUGAUAACUCCAGAUGAUGACAAAGAAGUAAGGCCUUUGUUAGUUACAUGUAAAACUAUCUCAAGUGAUAAAGAAGUGAAAUCUGAUACAGAAUUUGUGAAAAUCUUUGAGUCAUUUUCUAGUUGGUCCCGAUUAGUUAAAACGAUUGCAAGACUCCGACAUAUUGUCAAAUCAUUCAGUCAACCCAAUGGUCAAUGCAAAGGAUGGCAUAUGUGUGCGCUAAAUAGUGAUGAUUUACGUGAUGCGGAGAAAUUCAUAUUGAAGGAAGCACAACUCGAAUACUUUUCUAAAGAAAUCAAUUCCAUCAAGGAGGGGAGAAAUGUCUCUUCUGGAAGCUCAAUUAUUUCUCUGUCGCCAUUACUUGAUGAAAAUGGUAUUCUUUGCGUAGGAGGAAGAUUAAAUGUAGGCAAAAAAUGUACAAUUAAUUCAGACAAGAAUCCAGUGCUUGUUCCGAAGAAAAGCCACAUUUCAUUAUUGCUUAUUAGACACUUUCAUGAAUUGGUUCACCACCAAGGAAGACAUAUAACUGAAGGGAAGAUUCGUUCAGUAGGGUACUGGAUCAUAGGUUGUAAAAGAAUGGUUGGAACUUGUAUUCAUAACUGUGUUACAUGCAAGAAACUACGAGGUCUCUUUGGAACUCAAAUUAUGUCAGACUUACCUGAAGAUAGAAUCACACCUAGUCCACCUUUUACUUUUGUAGGUGUCGAUACUUUUGGACCCUGGAACGUGAUAGCAAGACGGACAAGAGGUGGUCAGGCAAACCACAAGAGAUGGGCGAUAUUAUUUACUUGUUUAGUAAUUCGUGCCAUACAUAUUGAAGUGGUAGAGGAACUAAGCAGUUCAUCUUUCAUAAAUGCGAUGCGAAGAUUCAUAUCUGUUAGAGGACCAGUGCGUCAGUUUAGAAGUGACAGAGGAACUAAUUUCGUUGGAGCAUCUGAUGAGUUAAGUAUGAAUUCUAUUUUUAUUGAAGACGAAAACAUUCGGAAUUAUUUGAAUACCAAUCAAGUAACUUGGAUUUUCAACCCUCCCCAUGCAUCCCACUUCGGGGGUGUAUGGGAAAGGAUGAUCGGAGUGACACGGAAAAUCUUAGAUGCUAUGUUAUUGCGUGCUAACUUGAAGGAACUAACCCAUGAAGUACUAACAACUUUUCUAGCAGAAGUUUGUUCGAUAGUGAAUUGCAGACCGCUUGUACCAGUCUCGACUGACCCUAAUGAUUCUUCUAUUCUGACACCUAAUACGUUACUUACUCAAAAGGAAGGAAGUCUUCCGGAGACAUUGCCCGAGUUGGAUACGAAACAAUUGUACAAAUCUCAAUGGAAACAUGUUGUUGUUCUUUCUCAGGAAUUUUGGAAGAAGUGGCGCGAACAAUAUCUGUCAAAUUUACAACAGCGACGUAAAUGGAAUACUUCAAGUGAUGAUAUUAAAGAAGGUGACAUAGUUCUUUUGAAAGACCGUGAACUAAAUCGUACAUGUUGGCCAAUGGCUAUUGUCGAAAGAACAUUUCCGAGCAGUGAUGAUCAUGUCCGAAAGGUACAGAUUCGUGUGGCUAAAGACCGUAGAUGUUAUGUGAGACCAAUUUGUGAACUCAUCCGUUUGCUCUCUGAGUGACUAUGUAGUGAUUUGAUGUUUAUAGACUGUUUAAGGAUUGUAAGGUUUUAUUUUAAAAUUAACCUUAAAAGAGUUAUUUAGUUAGAUACAUGUACAAAUACAUUAUUUUUUGGUAUAUAGUGAUUUCAGUAAGAAAUCAGGAGGGGAGUGUGCUGCCCCGGAUUUAAUUUUUGCUAUGGUUAAAUUUUUACCAACACCGUUUUUUGGUUAUUAGUUAUAUGACACCGGAUACGUUUGAUGUUCACAUUACGCUUUGUCACAAAACAUAGAAUUUAGGUGUUGGCCCCUCAUGAAUUUUGUACCCUCUCCGGGGGUUUGAAUAGCAAUAAAGCAUAGAACAUUGCACA